rnacentral:rRNA from 1 species
CACGAAGUUAGCCGGGGCUUCUUCUGCGGGUACCGUCAUCAUCGUCCCCGCCGAAAGGGCUUUACAAUCCGAAGACCUUCUUCACCCACGCGGCAUUGCUGGAUCAGGCUUUCGCCCAUUGUCCAAUACUCCCCACUGCUGCCUCCCGUAGGAGUCUGGGCCGUGUCUCAGUCCCAGUGUGGCUGAUCAUCCUCUCAGACCAGCUACCGAUCGCGGCCUUGGUAAGCCAUCACCCCACCAACUAGCUAAUCGGACGCAGGCCGCUCCAUGGGCGGCCGAUCUCUCGGCCUUUGGCCCUCAGGCCCCGUGCGGUAUUAGCCGCAGUUUCCCGCGGUUGUCCCCCACCCUUGGAUACGUUCCUACGCGCUCCUCACCCGUCCGCCACUGAUGCGCCCGAAAGCCCACCCGUCAGACUUGCAUGUGUUAGGCAUGCCGCCAGCGUUCGCUCUGAGCCAGGAUCAAACUCU